rnacentral:rRNA from 1 species
GACGAACGCUGGCGGCGUGCCUCAGACAUGCAAGUCGAACGCGAAAUCUCCCUUCGGGGAGAAAGUAGAGUGGCGCACGGGUGAGUAACACGUAGGUAAUUUGCCUUCGGGUGGGGAAUAACUCAGGGAAACUUGAGCUAAUACCGCAUAAUGCAGCGGCUCGACAUCGAGACAGUUGUUAAAGCGGGGGAUCGCAAGACCUCGCGCCUGAAGAGAAGCCUGCGGCAGAUUAGCUAGUUGGUAAGGUAAUGGCUUACCAAGGCGACGAUCUGUAACCGGCCUGAGAGGGCGGUC